AUUGAACGCUGGCGGCAGGCCUAACACAUGCAAGUCGAACGAGUGGCGGACGGGUGAGUAAUGUCUGGGAAACUGCCUGAUGGAGGGGGAUAACUCCUGGAAACGGUAGCUACUACCGCAUACCCUCAGAUGUGCCCAGAUGGGAUUAGCUAGUUGGUGGGGUAACGGCUCACCAAGGCGACGAUCCCUAGCUGGUCUGAGAGGAUGACCAGCAACACUGGAACCGAGACACGGUCCAGACUCCGACGGGAGGCAGCAGGUGGGAAUAUUGCACAAUUGGCGCAAGCCUGAUGCAGCCAUGCCGCUUGUAUGAAGAAGGCCUUCGGGUUGUAAAGUACGUUCAGCGGGGAGGCGUUACCCGCAGAAGAAGCACCGGCUAACUCCGUGCCAGCCGCCGCGGUAAUAC
rnacentral:rRNA from 1 species